GGAAACUUUGUUCGGCGAGGCUCUGUGAGGAGAGUCUGUGGGGAAAACACUUCCUGGGGAAAUGUCGUAGGAAACGACCUUUGCUGGGGAUAUGAACUUGCUAAUCGCCCUCAAGUUGGGGAUUAACAAAUCUGUUAAAAAUAAUCUGCUGGGGAAUGAGAUGAACACUGGGAACACCACCCUCUCAUCUGUUGGUUAUG
rnacentral:lncRNA from 1 species